ensembl:misc_RNA Y_RNA Y RNA
GGCUGGUCCAAAGGUAGUGAAUUCUCUCUAUUGUUCACAGUUAGUUACAGAUGGAACUCCUUGUUCUGCUCUUUUCCCUGACUGCUGCACUUGACUAAUCUUAA